rnacentral:rRNA from 1 species
AGCAGCCGCGGUAAUUCCAGCUCCAAUAGCGUAUAUUAAAGUUGUUGCAGUUAAAAAGCUCGUAGUUGAAUUUCGGGAUCAAUUUAUCGGUCGUGCCUACGGUAUGAACUGGUACAAUUGGUUUCUCCCUUCUGACGAAGCAUGAUGCCAUUAAUUUGGUGUCGUGGGGAAUCAGGACUGUUACUUUGAAAAAUUAGAGUGUUUAAAGCAAGCAUUAGCUUGAAUACAUUAGCAUGGAAUAAUGAAAUAGGACGUUUGAUCCUAUUUCGUUGGUUUCUAGGAUCGACGUAAUGAUUAAUAGGGAUAGUUGGGGGCAUUAGUAUUCAAUUGUCAGAGGUGAAAUUCUUGGAUUUAUUGAAGACUAACUACUGCGAAAGCAUUUGCCAAGGAUGUUUUCAUUAAUCAAGAACGAAAGUUAGGGGAUCGAAGACGAUCAGGUACCGUCGUAGUCUUAACCAUAAACUAUGCCGACUAGGGAUCGGAUGAUGUUAAUUUUAAUGACUCAUUCGGCGCCUUAACC